rnacentral:rRNA from 1 species
CUAGCGACUUCAGAGUUUGAUCCUGGCUCAGGACGAACGCUGGCGGCGUGCUUAACACAUGCAAGUCGAACGAUGAAAUUCUGACGGAGGCUUCGGCCAACUGAGGGAUGGAUUAGUGGCGGACGGGUGAGUAACGCGUGAGUAACCUGCCUUUCAGAGGGGAAUAACAUUUGGAAACGAAUGGUAAUACCGCAUAAUGUUAUCGGACCGCAUGAUCUGAUAACCAAAGGAGCAAUCCGCUGAAAGAUGGACUCGCGUCCGAUUAGCUAGUUGGAGAGGUAACGGCUCCCCAAGGCGACGAUCGGUAGCCGGACUGAGAGGUUGAACGGCCACAUUGGGACUGAGACACGGCCCAG